GGCUUACCAUGCAGUCGAACGGAAAGGCCCUUCGGGGUACUCGAGUGGCGAACGGGUGAGUAACACGUGGGUGAUCUGCCCUGCACUUUGGGAUAAGCCUGGGAAACUGGGUCUAAUACCGAAUAGGACCACGCGCUUCAUGGUGUGUGGUGGAAAGCUUUUGCGGUGUGGGAUGGGCCCGCGGCCUAUCAGCUUGUUGGUGGGGUAAUGGCCUACCAAGGCGACGACGGGUAGCCGGCCUGAGAGGGUGACCGGCCACACUGGGACUGAGAUACGGCCCAGACUCCUACGGGAGGCAGCAGUGGGGAAUAUUGCACAAUGGGCGCAAGCCUGAUGCAGCGACGCCGCGUGAGGGAUGACGGCCUUCGGGUUGUAAACCUCUUUCAAUAGGGACGAAGCGCAAGUGACGGUACCUAUAGAAGAAGCACCGGCCAACUACGUGCCAGCAGCCGCGGUAAUACGUAGGGUGCGAGCGUUGUCCGGAAUUACUGGGCGUAAAGAGCUCGUAGGUGGUUUGUCGCGUUGUUCGUGAAAACUCACAGCUUAACUGUGGGCGUGCGGGCGAUACGGGCAGACUAGAGUACUGCAGGGGAGACUGGAAUUCCUGGUGUAGCGGUGGAAUGCGCAGAUAUCAGGAGGAACACCGGUGGCGAAGGCGGGUCUCUGGGCAGUAACUGACGCUGAGGAGCGAAAGCGUGGGGAGCGAACAGGAUUAGAUACCCUGGUAGUCCACGCCGUAAACGGUGGGUACUAGGUGUGGGUUCCUUCCUUGGGAUCCGUGCCGUAGCUAACGCAUUAAGUACCCCGCCUGGGGAGUACGGCCGCAAGGCUAAAACUCAAAGGAAUUGACGGGGGCCCGCACAAGCGGCGGAGCAUGUGGAUUAAUUCGAUGCAACGCGAAGAACCUUACCUGGGUUUGACAUGCACAGGACGCCGGCAGAGAUGUCGGUUCCCUUGUGGCCUGUGUGCAGGUGGUGCAUGGCUGUCGUCAGCUCGUGUCGUGAGAUGUUGGGUUAAGUCCCGCAACGAGCGCAACCCUUGUCCUAUGUUGCCAGCGGGUUAUGCCGGGGACUCGUAGGAGACUGCCGGGGUCAACUCGGAGGAAGGUGGGGAUGACGUCAAGUCAUCAUGCCCCUUAUGUCCAGGGCUUCACACAUGCUACAAUGGCCGGUACAAAGGGCUGCGAUGCCGUGAGGUGGAGCGAAUCCUUUCAAAGCCGGUCUCAGUUCGGAUCGGGGUCUGCAACUCGACCCCGUGAAGUCGGAGUCGCUAGUAAUCGCAGAUCAGCAACGCUGCGGUGAAUACGUUCCCGGGCCUUGUACACACCGCCCGUCACGUCAUGAAAGUCGGUAACACCCGAAGCCGGUGGCCUAACCCUUGUGGAGGGAGCCGUCGAAGGUGAUCGCGUCC
rnacentral:rRNA from 1 species